rnacentral:rRNA from 1 species
GACGAACGCUGGCGGCAUGCCUAAUACAUGCAAGUAGAACGCAGUUGAGAAAGGGGGAGUAACACGUAGGUAACUGCAUCAAAGCGGGGGGUAACUAGUGUAAACGAUAGCUAAUACCGCAAACUUUAAGAUGAACCUGCGUUGCAUUAGCUAGUUGUUGAGGUAAAGGCUCACCACGGCGACGAUACAUAGCCGACCUGAGAGGGUGAGUGGCAACACUGUGGCUGGGACAAGUCCCAGGCUCUGUCGGGAGGCAGCAGUAGGGAAUCGUUGGCAAUGGACGGAAGUCUGACCGAGCAACGCCGCGUGAGUGAAGAAGGUUUGCGGAUCGUAAAGCUCUGUUGUUAGAGAAGCGGUACCUAAACAGAAAGGGACGGCUAACUACGUGCCAGCAGCCGCGGUAAUUC